rnacentral:lncRNA from 1 species
CCUCCCGUCAGCAUGGUGAAGCCUCUGUACACAGUGUUCAUGUUGAUGAAAGUGUGAUGUACAGUGUUCAUGUUUUAUGGAAAUGACUCUCAAUCUCUCUCUCUACAGUGAUACUAUGAAGGACACCACCUCUAAAGCUUUGUGUUCCUACAGGAACCUCUAGGUGCGUCUAGUGAUCCUGCUGGGUCUGAGAGCUUACAGUCACUGCUACACCACUGUAUUACUAAAGCCAAGAGAGUGGCUGCCAACACCAAUAACAACUCCACUUCCAGGAGAAGAACAGGUGUGUCUCUCUCUCAGACCCAGCAGCAAUCCCAGACCCCCUCGGCUCACAGAGAAGAUCUCUACCUCCACAGGAAGAGGAAAAGGCAGAACAGGAAGAACCCAUAUCUCUUUUUAACCUCCCUCCUGCACCGCAGAAGACGCUCUGAGGAGGACCAGGCGGCCAUCCUGGCCAGUACAGACUCAGACGGGCCCAACUACAGGACUCUCCACUGACCACUGACCAGUAUGUCCACUACUGUCACUCACAGACAGGUCAAGCCAUGGGACGUGACUACAUUGACCCGCCAACCUAGAUCUCCCUUAAUUCCAUUCAGCUUUUGGCAGUGGGUAACCUGUCUCUAGCGUUUUCCAAAUAAUUUACAGACAAAAUGAAGAUGUUUUCCGUGUCUCCCUGAGGAUAAUGUAGUGAGGGUCACCAGAUAAAACAUCUGUAAUGUAAAUACAUAAAAUAAUGAAAAAGGGGACAAUAUCUCCUAUUGUAGUAAAAUGCAUUGAUCUAAAUAAUUCACAACACCUUAAAAGUCACUGGUCAGGAGGAGUCUAUCUGAGGUGUUACAGUGACACAGUGGACUAAACCUGGUGCGUUCCUUAGACAAGGACCUCAGUCUACCUUUCCUACAAUUCAAAUAGUGUCAGUAUCUAACACAGGGUACUUAUCGCAAAAUAUACCUCAGAGUAAGUGCAGAAUUGCAGUAAUUCUAUUGGACUAUACGUAUUUUACAUUAUUUUUCAAAUGAAAUGUAUGAAAGAAAUGGUAUAUAAUAUCAUUCACUUCACACAUGAAUUGGAUGCUAUGGCCUGAAGUCUGAUUUUCAUCCGCUUUUAAUAUCGAGCCCAAUCUGCAUAUUUUGCUUAAUCCCAAAAGAAUAUCAUCCAAUACAAGGCGCGGUAUGAUAUUGGUAUAUUUCAAAUCACUAAAAGACAUGUCCUCACUCUCUUGCAUUUAACCAUGUGAUCACAUCCAGUAAAGGUCAGCCCACGUUCUUCUUGCUAAGACAUACAGUAACUUUGUGUUCAAGAGGCCAAAUGUACACUUGAUAGGGUGAGGACAGAAAAGGGGUGAGAAAAUGUGAUAAAUGUGUAUACAGUGUUUUUCAUUAAUAUGGAGGAAACCUCGAGUCAUUCGUGGAGUAUGGCACAUCUCAAGGUGCCUUGUUUGCCUUUUCUCUCUUGUUUUUGAAAAGUGAAUUAACUGCCUUUUCCUUCGCCUUCACGCAUUCUCUCUCUCUCUGUUGGGACUCAUUAUAAGCUCCAGUCUGACCUGUGGACUGACUCUACUUUUUCUGCCAAGAACACCUAGCUGUGAGUAAGGGGCACUGAAGGUGUAUUACUCUGGUUCUUUUUUUAAUCUUGACUGUGUAUAUUCUACUAAUAGAACAGACCUAUAACAACAAUUAGUGAUUAUGAUGACAGUGUUAAUCAUUUCAGGUUUCAAAUUGUGGUAAUGCUAUAACAUAGAUAUAAAAAAAAAUCACAAUUUAAUCAACAUUUAAAUGUAAAAGGUACAGAAGUAGUUAUUAUGCAGAAAGUGAAACUUGCCACUGAUGUUCAUAUUUCAAAACAGCUGUAAUACUGAAUACUGUAUUGAAAGAUCUGAUUGCUGUUGCUUUAUUAGGCGAUUUUAACAAGUGGGCUUGUUAGAUGACAAGUGACAACAUUUGUGUUACAUUAACUAAACUCAAAAGGUGGGGUGGCUGUCUCGACUCUCAACUGUUUAUCUCUAGCAACGGUAUAAUAUUACCUGCUAGCUAUUUCUCUAUGUUUAUUCAUUUUAACACUAACCGAUAAUGAAUGUAUGUUUUGCUGUACAGGAAGUGACUGUCCUGAUGUCAUAGUACAACGGAUGUGGUGGUAUUAAGUUUAGGUUUAAUUGGCUAGUUGGCUAGUUGGCACAAUAGGUUGAUUUGAUUUAUCCCACAAGGUUAGCUGGUUAACCAAGGAUAGGUUCAACCACUCUUGGUUGAAUUCUUUCCUUUACACUGAUAGUUAAUAUUAUAAUUUUCUUCUCACCAUGUAAACUAGACCUAUUAGAGCGCUUUAAGCUUACACACUGACAAGAUGAAUCACUG